GAUGAACGCUGACAGAAUGCUUAACACAUGCAAGUCGAGGGGUAUAGUUCUUCGGAACUAGAGACCGGCGCACGGGUGCGUAACGCGUAUGCAAUCUACCUUUUGCAGAGGGAUAGCCCAGAGAAAUUUGGAUUAAUACCUCAUAGUAUGUGAGAAUGGCAUCAUUUUCACAUUAAAGUCACAACGGCUAAAGAUGAGCAUGCGUCCCAUUAGCUAGAUGGUAAGGUAACGGCUUACCAUGGCGACGAUGGGUAGGGGUCCUGAGAGGGAGAUCCCCCAUACUGGUACUGAGACACGGACCAGACUCCUACGGGAGGCAGCAGUGAGGAAUAUUGGACAAUGGGCUCAAGCCUGAUCCCAGCCCAUGCCGCGUGCAGGAUGAC
rnacentral:rRNA from 1 species